GGGAACUCCAGACUUCUUCCUGGCCCUCGAUUUCACCUGUGAGAUUCUCAGCACUGCACUCUGGGUAGUCACAAUGGCUCUGAAAGGAAGGUUCAGAAUCUAGUAGUUGUUCAGUCCAGGAGGCUGAUUAUCUUAGCUGGUCUUUAGGUAUAAGCCAAAAUCCUCAAGAAGUAAGUUCUAAUGCCUGUGAGAAAGAAUGAAAGCAAGCAGGCAAAGACACAGCAAGCAUCCUUCUUCUGUGCCCUUUAUGUAGAUUGCCAGCAGAACGUGUGGUCCAGAUUUAAAGAUGGAUCUUCCCACUUCAAAGAUAAUGGAUUAGAAGUGGGUCUUCCCACUUCAAAUGAUUUAAUUAAGACAAAAAGAAAGAAAGAAAGAAAUCCCUCAGAGGUGUAUCCAGCCAUUUGGGUUCUAGUUAAUGCCAGAUGUAGUCAAAUUGACAACCAAGAAUAUCCAUCACACCCUCCCAGAGGAAAAAGGUACCAGCUUCAUGCAUCCUUCUUGACUUGGUACCUGCAUGUUGUCAGGAAUUGCUUUGGACACAUUCAACAAUUUCAUUAAGGCCUUUGUGUUACAAAGCUUAAUUUGUUGAUAUUUUAUUUGCAUAUUUUGUCUUGAUUUUUUUUACUUUAAAUUCAUUUUAACACCUGUACUAUAUUUCCUAAUCUCUCUAAACCUCCCCCCACACUUCUUUUAGAACAGAGAGGUAGAGAGACUAAAAGAAAAGGAAGUAUGCAGACUAACCAAUGAUGCCAAGAACGUGAUCUCCAGCCAUCACUAUGAUGCUCUUCCUAAAACAUAUCCUACUGACUCGGUUCAUUAUCGAGCCCGCUUUAACUUAGCUUCUUCCUCAGACACUCACUGCCCAACAAAUGUAUUCUGUCCUUAGAGACAUCAUUCAGUAAGGCAAAAUGAAAAUCAAUGAGCCCAUCUUGUGAAGCUUCAAACCAUGACUCCCCCAGUGUUGACUUCUCUGUUUGGACAUUUUGAAGGCUGCCAUCUUAACUGGGAUGUGUUUAGAAUUUCCAGUACAUCCCAGAAAGAUCUGGUCACAGUUGUUGAGGAUUUCUCUGUCUAAUGGAGAAAAUGACCUUCCAUUUGGCCCUCGAAGUUGUCUGACAGAGAUGUGCACAGGUUUUAAUAGGGGUCGAACGAGUAGCAACUAUUUAUUUCAAUUUUGGGAGGUGAGAUUACUGAAAAAGACUCAGGAAUUGAAUCUUAAAAAAUGUGUGUGGCUCUGUUUUUAUCUUUAAUAUUUUAAAUCUUUAUAUGCCAUGACCAAGCCUUUAACAAUGAAUUCAGCCAUCCACGUGGUGGACAGACCUAGGGACUGUUUGGAAAGACGAGGAUUCUUCCACAGUGAAUACAACCGAGUUUUUUAUUUUUUUUAUUUUUAUAUGUAUGGGUGUUUGGCCUGCAUGUAUAUCUGCAUGCCAUGUGCAUACAAGGCGCCCAAGGAGACCAGAAGAAGGCACAGGAUCUCCUGGAACUAGAAUUACAGGGUGUUUGGGACCAAAUCUGGGCCCUCUGGAAGAGUAGGUACUGCCCUUAACCACUAAGCUAGCUCUCCAGCUUCCUUCCAUCAUCCUGACACCACCACCAAUCCAGCCUCUGUUAUUCUAGGCCACUCUCACAGUCUUUGACUCACUGUUUUGUCUAUUUACCUUUGAGGAAUGUACAUGCUGUGGUUCAGAAGGGAGUUCUAAAGUUAGGGAUUUUUUUUUCUCCCUGUAGUAGCAUCCCCAUCCUCCAACACAGAGCAGUCUGGCACAGUAUGGGUGUGACUCCCAGAGAAAACAAGAAGUAGCCAGUUGCUCC
rnacentral:lncRNA from 1 species